rnacentral:lncRNA from 1 species
GCACAUAGCACAGUCACUCUGUUUUGGAAUGGCGGUCCCUACGGGUGGGAGAGUCCACUAUAAACGGAUAGAAUAGCCCAUUGCAUCUUACGCCCCAUGGACCAAAUUCCACUCCCAGAUUGUGCUGGUAGGGCCUGAAAGCUAAAAAUGGUUUUUAUAUCUUCACAUGGUUGAAAAUAAUUCUUAAAGAUAAUAUUUGCAGCAUGAAGAUUAUAUUCAUUAUACUCAUAUUCAUCCAGAUUUCAUGGUCUAUAAGCAGUGUUUUCUUGAAACAGGCUCUUUAAUGUACUUUUUAUCUGUGGUGCUUCUUGGAUACAAUGACUGAACUGAGAGGAUGCAACAGAUGUCAUAUGGCAAAGCUCAAAUACUUACUCUCUGGAUCUUUAUAGAAGUUUGCCCACCUCCACUGUAGAAAUAUGGCCCGAAGAUUCUUUUACUUGUCAGAAGCAGCACUCACCUGUGCCUCUCCCUGAUCAGGCCCAAACAAAUCAGCUGCCCUCACCUGAA